AACGAACGCUGGCGGCAUGCCUAACACAUGCAAGUCGAACGAGACCUUCGGGUCUAGUGGCGCACGGGUGCGUAACGCGUGGGAAUCUGCCCUUGGGUCUGGAAUAACAGUUAGAAAUGA
rnacentral:rRNA from 1 species